GGGACACGUGGUAUCCUGUCUGAAUAUGGGGGGACCAUCCUCCAAGGCUAAAUACUCCUGACUGACCGAUAGUGAACCAGUACCGUGAGGGAAAGGCGAAAAGAACCCCGGCGAGGGGAGUGAAAAAGAACCUGAAACCGUGUACGUACAAGCAGUGGGAGCCUCUUAAUGGGGUGACUGCGUACCUUUUGUAUAAUGGGUCAGCGACUUAUAUUCUGUAGCAAGGUUAACCGAAUAGGGGAGCCGAAGGGAAACCGAGUCUUAACUGGGCGUUAAGUUGCAGGGUAUAGACCCGAAACCCGGUGAUCUAGCCAUGGGCAGGUUGAAGGUUGGGUAACACUAACUGGAGGACCGAACCGACUAAUGUUGAAAAAUUAGCGGAUGACUUGUGGCUGGGGGUGAAAGGCCAAUCAAACCGGGAGAUAGCUGGUUCUCCCCGAAAGCUAUUUAGGUAGCGCCUCGUGAAUUCAUCUCCGGGGGUAGAGCACUGUUUCGGCAAGGGGGUCAUCCCGACUUACCAACCCGAUGCAAACUGCGAAUACCGGAGAAUGUUAUCACGGGAGACACACGGCGGGUGCUAACGUCCGUCGUGAAGAGGGAAACAACCCAGACCGCCAGCUAAGGUCCCAAAGUCAUGGUUAAGUGGGAAACGAUGUGGGAAGGCCCAGACAGCCAGGAUGUUGGCUUAGAAGCAGCCAUCAUUUAAAGAAAGCGUAAUAGCUCACUGGUCGAGUCGGCCUGCGCGGAAGAUGUAACGGGGCUAAACCAUGCACCGAAGCUGCGGCAGCGACACUAUGUGUUGUUGGGUAGGGGAGCGUUCUGUAAGCCUGUGAAGGUGUACUGUGAGGUAUGCUGGAGGUAUCAGAAGUGCGAAUGCUGACAUAAGUAACGAUAAAGCGGGUGAAAAGCCCGCUCGCCGGAAGACCAAGGGUUCCUGUCCAACGUUAAUCGGGGCAGGGUGAGUCGACCCCUAAGGCGAGGCCGAAAGGCGUAGUCGAUGGGAAACAGGUUAAUAUUCCUGUACUUGGUGUUACUGCGAAGGGGGGACGGAGAAGGCUAUGUUGGCCGGGCGACGGUUGUCCCGGUUUAAGCGUGUAGGCUGGUUUUCCAGGCAAAUCCGGAAAACCAAGGCUGAGGCGUGAUGACGAGGCACUACGGUGCUGAAGCAACAAAUGCCCUGCUUCCAGGAAAAGCCUCUAAGCAUCAGGUAACAUCAAAUCGUACCCCAAACCGACACAGGUGGUCAGGUAGAGAAUACCAAGGCGCUUGAGAGAACUCGGGUGAAGGAACUAGGCAAAAUGGUGCC
rnacentral:rRNA from 1 species